CGGGCCCCGGUGGGGCGGCCACCCGGGGUCCCGGCCCUCGCGCGUCUUUCCUCCUCCUCCUCCUCCUGCUAACCAGAAGAAGAAAAAAUAACCGGAAGAAAUAUAAAUCUAUGUUUCAACACGUACUAAGAAUUAUAACUGUGGAAAAUUUUGAAUUAUUGCGGAAUUAAUUCUAUUAGAAGGAGGAAUUAUAAAUAGGUGAGAGAUCCGAAACAGAAACCACGUCAUUAAUUUUCUUUUAUUCCUCCAGAGAGAGAGGACUGAUGACAAAUUAUUGAGUAUAAAAUUUUUGCUAUAAAAAUUUGACGAAUGGAUAAUGGCAAGACUAAGCGUGAAAAAUUACUUUCAUAAUCUCCGAAGUGGAGAAGGAUAGUUCUAUCAAUCUCGACAGAGUUGGUGUUUUCAGCUGUCGUUUCUAGUUUGAUAUUGAGCACAAGAGGGAAAAGUCUUCUAACACAGCUGCUCCGGAUGGGACCGCGGCUGCUGCUCAUAAUUGAAGAACUUAUUGGUGAAGUUUCUGCUUAAUGAUGCUUCUUUAUGGGUAGCCAAAGAAUGGGAAGAAAACUCUUUACGGUUUAUAGUGGUUUAAUGCUAAGAAGGAAGUACAUAACCGAGUUUCUAUGUCGACAAUACCUAUCGUUUCCUUUGCCGUACUUUUAUUCGAUAUUAUACACUCAGGACCGAACUUAAGUUGUUUUUUUUUCUUCUGUAUUGUACAUUUGAUUGAAACGGCAUAUAUAUAUCGUAAAAAUCCACAGAUAAACUUAUUUGUUGUUAAAUAUAAAAACAUAAAUCAUCUUGAAGCGAAUCACGUUCGGGGCGGAAGAAGGAUGACAAUAUCCUGUCUUCGAGAGGUCAAAUAGAAUAUAAAAGAAAUGGUUUGUUUCGGGGUCCAACCUCCCUCCGGGGUACAGUUUGUCGUUGGCAAUCUAAUAGAAAGAUCGGUUGCAAUUUCCCUUGAGAGUAUUGUGGCGAAUUGAAGUUGGUUUCGAUGAAACUACCGAACCCGUUUAAAUGGCUUUGUCAUUAAGAGUUGUAGCUUUUUUCCCAGCAAAAAUGGAAGUAAACAGAAGAAUUGUCGCGAGAUUUUCAACCACUCUACACUUUUUCCUAUUUAUUAACUACUAUCUCCUUCUCUCUCUCUCUCUCUGUUUUUCUUUUUCUUUACCUCGAGAUAAUUAAAGACAUAAAAAGGAUUAAAAACUGAACAACACGCUGAAUGUAACUCAUAAUUAACACGAAACAAAAUUACGCGACAACUUAUCUGAUUUUCUUUUUUUGCAAUUUUUACGUUAUUCUGCAACAAUUACCAGUUUACUUUUUGGUAUUAUUGUUUUGUCUUAAACGUGGGCGAAAUCUAAAACCAUUCAAAAAUUAAGUGGUCGACAUUGAAGUUCGAUUACAGUCACGCUUGUACACAAUUACUUAAGAUUUAGUAAAGAUCCUGUUACUUUUCUUUAAUUUUUAAAUUACAAAUAAACACUUUAUUUUAAUUCUGCAAAGGUAAUUUUCCCUGUAAUCUUCCAUUGUAACAACGGAAAAAGUUUAAAUUCGCAAGCAGAAGUUGUAAACAAUUUCACAAGCUUGCAUUGUAACAACGGAAAGGAAUAAAUUUACAAGUUCACCAUAACUUGUUAAAGAAGUUUCUAAAAAAUCAAACCGCAGUAGAAUAUUAGUUUUAGAAGCAAGUUUUAAAUAUAGAAAACUUUAGACGUAUUUUAUUCCGGUCUAAUUACAUUUAUCGUAAAGCGUAUAUAUAUAUAUAUCUCCACGUUAUCGAACCUUUUUUUAAAAGGAAAAAUAUAUAUAUCUCGAAGAGAGAGAUUUAAUGUAAAAAAAAAAAGUGGAAGCGAAACGAAAGAUUCCAUCAACUUGAGGUGAUUAAGAGAGUUAGUAGAAUUUCCGAAGCUAGCAGCUCGUAGAAAACCAAUUAAAAACUUGGACGUCGAAUUGACUGAUGGUGGGAGGUAAGGCGUGAUUUGAUUCGUCUUUUACCUUCGCUGAUUACAAACCUGAAACUCUUCUGCUGUCGCCUUAAUCCUUGUUUAGUAUCUAGUCUGUACAACCCCGACUUGACGACCUAAUGAACUAUACUGUAUUUAAAACUUCCAGUCGAAAAGAUUUAAGAAAAUUGACAGAAACAUAACUACCUUCCAAACUGCUGAUAUAGAAAGAAUUACUUUUGGAGAAAAUUAUACAUAUAUAAGAGCUCGUUAUCUAUUCCUAAC
rnacentral:lncRNA from 1 species